GUCGUGGCCGAGUGGUUAAGGCGAUGGACUCGAAACCUUUUGGGAUUUUCCCGCGCAGGUUGGAUUCCUGCGGUUCGAUU
rnacentral:tRNA from 1 species